rnacentral:rRNA from 1 species
AGACGUCUACAUUAGAUACCCGUGUAGUCCCAGCCGUAAACUAUGCGCGUUAGGUGUAUCGGUGACCACGAGUUACCGGGGUGCCGAAGGGAAACCGUGAAACGUGCCGCCUGGGAAGUACGGUCGCAAGGCUGAAACUUAAAGGAAUUGGCGGGGAGCACCACAACGGGUGGAGCCUGCGGUUUAAUUGGACUCAACGCCGGGAAGCUCACCGGAUAGGACAGCAGAAUGAUUGCCGGGCUGAAGACCCUGCAUGACUAGCUG